rnacentral:rRNA from 1 species
UACGUAGGUGGCAAGCGUUGUCCGGAUUUACUGGGCGUAAAGGGCAAGCAGGCGGAUCGUUAAGUAGAAAGUGAAAGGUCGGGGCUCAACCCCAACAUUGCUUUCUAUACUGGCGGUCUUGAGUCCCGGAGGGGAGAGCGGAACGACACGUGUAGCGGUGAAAUGCGUUGAUAUGUGUCGGAACACCAAUGGCGAAGGCAGCUCUCUGGACGGGUACUGAAGCUCAUUUGCGAAAGCCGAGGUAGCGAACAGG